GCGCUUGCUUUGGCACCACCUAUAUUAAAAUUGGAAUGAUGCAGAGAACAUUCUCAUGGUCUCUGCACAAAGAAGGCAGGCACAUUUGUGAUAUUUUAGUUUUUU